AGGACCUGCUUGAGUGGGAUAACAGCUGGAACAGCUGCUAAUACCGCAUGAUGCAGUUGGGCCGCAUGGCUCUGACUGCCAAAGAUUUAUCGCUCUGAGAUGGACUCGCGUCUGAUUAGCUAGUUGGCGGGGUAACGGCCCACCAAGGCGACGAUCAGUAGCCGGACUGAGAGGUUGGCCGGCCACAUUGGGACUGAGACACGGCCCAGACUCCUACGGAAGGCAGCAG
rnacentral:rRNA from 1 species